GAACAUUCAGAGAUUCCCAAGGUUUCUCCUCUCUUUGAAUUGGUUAAGGAUUUGGCACAGCUCACAAGAACUCUUUCAUCUCAGAAGCUGAGGACUUUAAAAAUAUACAGAGACGGGGGUCUAUCCUCCCCCCUGAAAUGAAACAUUUAAAAGUAGCAGGUACUGCUAAUAGCUGCCUGAGAGUGACAAGUGAACAAGUCCUACGUGGAUCAACUGCAGAAUAAAAAGGCCAAUGUCUUGAUGCUGGUGAAAAAGAAGCCAAGCAAUGCAGUUCUUUGCACAGAGCUGAGCCGUGAUUUGUAAUCACAGCGGAGAAACCUUGCAUGUCCGUCUCCUAUGUUCCACAUUUGGGAUACCUUCUAUCAUAAUACUCAGAAAAUCUAGAGGCACAAAUAAAGCUGAAGUUUUAUAUACCUCCUACCAUUGACCAGCGCAAAAUGUAACAGUUGUCAAAAUAUUGAAUAAGAAGUAGGAUGUGCACAUGUGUGCGUGGUCUAAGGGCAGAGAGUGCAAAGUGCUGAGGUUUACCAUGGCUCUGUCGCAGCGGGAAGCUCAGCAGCUCCUAUGAGUUUCUCUUGAGAGUGAGCUGAGCUUUGUCUUUUGGGGCAUCCUGAGAAGGGAGAAGAGAGCACAGAGGACAUUUGGUAGUCAAGCGGGAUGGUUGAGUCCUGCCAACAGAACAGCUGUGCUGGCAGCUGGCAGGUGCUGGUCUCUGUUGGCCAGAUAAGGCCAGCCAAGCAGAAGUACAAGCCAUUUCUCAACAGGGAAGCCUGCUUUAUCAGCAUAAACUGAAAAGACAAAAGGAGAAGCAGAAACAAGAAAUCUACAGAAGGUGAUAAUGAGAGUAGGAAGAAUCAGACAUCUCUGUCUACAAGAGAUUAUAUGUUUUCUUGUUUGCUCUCUGGUGUUAUUCUAGACACAGGUAUAGCUUUUGUUCAGUUAUGCUAUUUGCUGCUAUCUUAUAUGCCUCUGACACUGCUACACUUCCCAUUAACUUACGUUUGGCUGAAAAGCUUGAUGUGAAGACAGCAUGAGAUGUAGGAUCUACUGGUUUCAGGUUUUGCCAGAAUAAAACAAUUGUAUGGGAAGGACCUUGUCAGUCAUCUUUCACAAGCUGCGUCUGUAGAGAUUUUUAAAUCAGUCUCUGGGAGAUGUUCCUCCAGUACAGGUUAUUGCUCCUCAGAUCACGUACAUUUCCUCUUCAGUUCACUAGCAGUCCUUAAAGGAUGUGGACAUCAGAUAAGCAGAUGACACUGUACCCAUUUCAUCACCUCUGCUCACAGAAACCAGAAGCUGUUCCUUUUGUUAUUCUUUUGUCUCUGUAAGGACCUCAAUAAUCUCUUCUCUGACGUGUUGUUGCACUAGGGCCACAAGUUCAGCUCUUCAGCCACAGUAAAUAUAACAGAAAAUUUUUCUUUGAGUACAUGCUUUUCAGGAAAAAAACCACCUCUUGCUCUUUACAAUGCUCUCUUAGACACUGAUGUUUCUUAGUCCUGGCUGUAAAUUUUUUCUCCUCAACAAAACACCAUGCAUCUGCAUGGUUAUCCUGUCCCACUCAUUAUUUUCAGCUCUAUCAGACUAGGUAUCUUUUUUGAACUUCA